UGGUGUGAAUGAUGAGAAGAUUCAAUAUUGUUACAGUUAUCCCUGUCUGAUCACUGUUGCUGACAAAUUGAUAUCUGACACAACA
rfam:Corchorus capsularis cultivar CVL-1 contig04962, whole genome shotgun sequence.